GGAGUUUGCUGUUGGCCUGCGAAGACCCUUUAUGGGACAUGGAUCAAAAGUGCUGUUCCUCGAGAUACUUACCUCCAGUAUAGGAUCCUGGUGUCAAAAGGAAUCAGAUACGGCUCCAUUGUACAUGGCAUGACUUGUAUAGCCAGACAGAGCAGGUGUGGAAACUUCUGGAUGCCUGCUCUUGUGAGUUCACCUCUAUGUCUACUCUACUGAGGCCUCUCCAUACAGGUAGAGUGACUUGUGGGAGGCCUGUUACAUCCUCAGGCCACACCUGGUAAGGGAAGCGCAGGUGGGUCCCACCUGCCCUGGUGCCCCCCUCAGGAUACCUGGGGGUAUAUACUUUUUCUCAUGCCACCCCCAGGCUCUGCCCAGAUGGGGCUGACGACUGGUUUUUGGGCUGGCAUCCGUGUUUCCGGGCGCUGCUUGCCCGUUCUCUCCCACCUGCCGGUUGAACCUUAAUCUCCUUUUGGGUGCUAUCUUCUGCGAUGACGCAUCCUUCCCCUCUCCAGGGCUUAUGGCAUCAGCUCUCUGCUCUCGAAGUUCAAAGCCAAGCUUUUUUGGACCUACACAAAAGAUUUCUCUUUCAAAACUGGUUGUUGUAAGGGUAUAGUCUCAGCUCUGGGUUUCAAAGCCUCUUUUGCAACUCAAAGCCAAGGAUUUGACUCUUUGUUCUGAGUUUCCCUGGAGAGCAGGGAAUAUAGGAAACCAACUUAGCAUAUGAAUGCAAGUCAAUGGAUAUAAGGAAAUUGUCUACAGUGGAAUAAGUUAGUAUCUCAAAAUGACAGCAUUCAGCUCCCAUACACUGUCAC
rnacentral:lncRNA from 1 species